rnacentral:rRNA from 1 species
GAGGAACGCUGGCGGCGUGCCUAAUACAUGCAAGUCGAGCGAACAGACGAGGAGCUUGCUCCUUUGACGUUAGCGGCGGACGGGUGAGUAACACGUAGGUAACCUACCUAUAAGACUGGGAUAACUUCGGGAAACCGGAGCUAAUACCGGAUAAUAUUUCGAACCGCAUGGUUCGAUAGUGAAAGAUGGCUUUGCUAUCACUUAUAGAUGGACCUGCGCCGUAUUAGCUAGUUGGUAAGGUAACGGCUUACCAAGGCAACGAUACGUAGCCGACCUGAGAGGGUGAUCGGCCACACUGGAACUGAGACACGGUCCAGACUCCUACGGGAGGCAGCAGUAGGGAAUCUUCCGCAAUGGGCGAAAGCCUGACGGAGCAACGCCGCGUGAGUGAUGAAGGUCUUCGGAUCGUAAAACUCUGUUAUUAGGGAAGAACAAACGUGUAAGUAACUGUGCACGUCUUGACGGUACCUAAUCAGAAAGCCACGGCUAACUACGUG